rnacentral:lncRNA from 1 species
UCAAAAAUGACUCACAACCUCAAAAAAGGCAUUAGGGUUUCGAGAUUUAGGGUUUGGGACUUGGAGGUUGUAAAUGAGACCAGCCUAUGGAAGUUUAGGUGUUUAAAUAGGGUGCAAAACCCUGAAAAUUAGGGUUUCACUCUGCCAGUCCUACUCGUCGAGUUGAUGCUCUCAACUCGUCGAGUAGACUUUACAACCUGCAUUCAAUUUCAUUCCUACUCGACGAGUUUGGGGCCUCCAACUCGUCGAGUUUCUAUACAAAAGGGAAUAAGUUUUAAAUUAAAUACAUACCAGGAACCAGGCGUUACACACACAGAGAGAGAGAGAGAGACAUAGAGAGAGAUAGGUUCAAAUAUUCUAACUGAUUAUUGUGUUGAUGUAGGAAUGAUUGUGGGUCAAUCAUUCCAAAAGGGUAUUUUGUGACAACCCGAAAUUUCUUUCUUGUACAAGAGACCCUUUGAAGCCUCUUUAACGUGUGUAUACUUGUUAUACCUGGGUAUAUGUUAAGAACACUUGAUGAUGUGCUUGAAAAACUCGAGUUCAUCAUCUUCAUGAAGGGUGUGCGGCCGCACACCUUCAUAGUGGCCGCACACACCCUUUUUAGGUCCCAAAAUGGCAAUAAACUCCAUAUAAGGCUAGAGCAUGAAGUGAGAAACCUUCCUGGAUGAGUUCUAAGGCCUUGAAAUACGUUUUAACACACUUCAUAGGGAAUGUACGGCCGCACACAAAUCCUGGCCGUACACACACUAAACCUUUGGUUUUGUGGCCUUACACUUUAAUAUAGGACCAUACACCCCUUAUGUGCAACCAUAUGUGUUGGUAACACUUAGUUCUAAGUGUUUUUACGUCCCUAAGGCAUGUCCCUAUCACCAUUAGUGGUUAUAUACAUUAAAUGUAUUCAUAUAUGUGUAAUUAUAUGUCAAUAGGAUUCGUUUGUGCUCACGACACCAAUUGACACCCAACAAUCCUAUAUCGAUCUUUCAUUCGAGUUACUCACAAUAGGUGAGUUCAUACCCCUUAAUUAACCUUUUAAAUGUUUUUAAAUGUUUAUAAAUGCUUUUAUGGGGGGGGGGGGANGUUUAUAAAUGGUUUUAUGGGGGGGGGUGGAAUACAAGUUGAAUCAUGCUAGUUAGUACAUCAAUCACAUGUGAUUAAUAACUAGCAUACAAAUUGAUUUACUACACUUUUAGCUGUUUAUUCAGUAUACCACUUCCAAGUGACUUACCAAAACGUUUUUACAUGUUAAAACUCUUUAUUAAACUGUCUUACAUACUUUAUGUUUCCUUUCAAACUAUGUUACAAUUGUGUUUCAAACAAAUCUUUUUCUUAUACUUAAAACUGUUUUAUCAAACAAACAACUUUCAAAUCGUUUUAUAAACUGACAUCAAGUCAUCAAUUCUUAUUUAUUAAACUUUUCAAAGGUUUUAUAGAACUUCUUUUAUACCUUUAUAUUGGCAAUUGCAUGCCUAUAUAUGUAUGGUUAUAUAAGUAAUGUUUAAAGGACUUAGGACUACUAGCUUGCUUUAAUUCCUUUUCCUUGUUUGGAUGUGGCCUUAGGGUAUCGGUUAUCUGUCCGAAUGUAUUCUAAAUAUUAGUUAUAUAUUAUGUAUACAUAUAUAGACAUAAAAGUUCCUACAGUCAAUUCAAUACCUUUGGGUAGUAAAGGCAUACUUCGUUUAUACACGUACAUUACUAGUAACUAUAAUGGGUAUAGUUAGGAGAUACUACUUACUAUUCCAAGUACAAAGAAUCACACAAGAGUCAGUUCAUUCAUGAGUCUAUACUAAUACAUUACAUACUAUAUGAAGAGAUACAAUUACAGAAAUACUAAUACAUUACAUACUAUAUGAAGAGAUACAAUUACAGAAAUACUAAUACAUUACAUAUUAUUGAUGGGUUUUGAGCAUGCUAACACUUCCUAAUUGUACAUGCAACCCUAAUAACUUUGGAUCUAUGUUUGUCUAAUUAUCAUGCAAAGUUGAUUUCCAAGGCUAUGAUCCUAUCUAGCAUACAUGGGGAACAAUUUUAACUUGAAUAAAAGAUAGAACUACAUACCUUGUUGUUGAUUUUGAUCCUUGAAACCUUGUGAGCCUAGCACCCCAAGUGUGAUGCCUCAAAUGCUUCACACAACACCAAAUGCUAUGGAGUAAACUUGGAGAGAAAGUAUAACACUCUAAAAAUCGGCUCUAGCCCUCAAGCAUGCAUGUGUAGCCGAUUUUGGGAGAAACAUGAGUUUUAUAUAGUGUUGUUGACACAUCUAGGGUUACACCAUGUAAACCCUAAUGUGUCAUGACUCUUCAUUUCCAUGACCCAUGGGUUUGUAACUCCCAUGGAGCAUCCAUGGAGCAUCCUAUGGGUAGAACCCAACUUGAUAAUCCAUGGAGCCUCUUAGCCCACUAUACAAGAUAUGGAUGAUUUACAUAAUCAACCCAUAUAUUUAAUUAGUUAUCCUUUGAUCACUUAAUUAAUUCCAAAUUAAUUCUUUGAUCAACUAAUCAAAUAAUAUUAUUAAUAUAUUAGAACUUAUAAUAUAUUAAUAAUCUCCAAGUGUUAUUUCUCUCAUUUAGUCUAUCCAAUUGCAUGGUGCCAUGCAACCCAAAUGGACCAUGCCGGGUCGGGUCAAGUACAAGCCCGAAAUAGUUAUGGACUUAGACACCUUAUCCAACAGUCUCCCACUUGGAUAAGUCUAAUAACUAUAUCUCUAGUACUUCAGGAACCGACCGGCAAUCGUAGCUCUUUCAAGGUCUCUCGGAACUGAGAAGAUGAUGGUACGCCAUUUAAGAUAAGUGAUCAUAUAAUCCUCCGUUCUAGAUAUCAGCCGGACAAAUACAUGGAACAUUGUCUUGCUUAUUGUCCAGCAUUUGUUUCCCGAUUUCCGAUUUGUUUGACAUAGAACUUAAUUGAACACAUCAACUUAGUUCUGACCGGGCCCGGUACAUGGGUCAAAACAAAAUCAUCGAGGGGCCCAGAUAUCAGCUUCUAAUCCAAGAAGGAACAGAUAAACUUCGACUCAUAUGUUUGUUCUACCACUCAUUGAAUUACACACAAAAGUACGUUUUAUAACAUCGAGUUACCAAUGCGGUUUCGUACAGUCAAUGCAUAACCAACUUGUAAGUAACAAAUCAUAUCUCUAGGUUUGAAGACUUAUAUGAUAUUACCGUCUCACGAUCACUCGAGAUAGAAUUCCAUGAAGUGAUUCCAGUGAGCGUGGGUUGAGUCCAAUGCUCAGAACUUAUGAGCACUCAUGAUUGUUGUAGCCUUGUCCAACACCUUAGACCUCUACAACCCAUCAUGACAGUCUUGAUUCAUACCUACUUCCGACAUAUGACCGACUGUGGAGGUUUGAAUAAUAUGUUACACCAAACAAAAUUAUUCUGGAAGUCAAAACAUGCAAAAGAAAUAUAGUAAACGAUUGACAAGAGAUAGCAACACUUUACUCAUAAAUAAAACACCUUUUAUUCAUCAUCAAAUGUCAAUUACACUUUACAAAUUUCUGGGUUAUCUAACUACUAAAACUUAUAUCAUCCUUCAGCCCUAUGCUCCGAGCAUGCUGGAGAUGCUUAACCCUACUCAGUCCCUUCGUGAGGGGAUCUGCUGGGUUCUCAUCCGAUGAUACCCUCUUUGCCACGAGGAGUCCUUCUUCGAUCCGAUGUCUAAUGAAAUGGUAUUUUCUGUCGAUGUGUCUGGAUCUCCCAUGAUCCCUUGGUUCCUUGGCUAAGGCAACAGCACUUUCACUAUCACAGAAAAUUUCCAUUGGCUCUUUAAUAGCUGGUACAACUCCAAGGUCUCCAAUGAAGUUCUUCAGCCAUAUCGCCUCCUUUGCUGCUUCGCUAGCUGCAAUAUACUCUGAUUCACAAGUAGAAUCUGCCACUGUCUCUUGCUUGGAACUCUUCCAAGAAAUUGCUCCUCCGUUUAGGGUAAAGACCCAGCCCGACUGAGAGCGGAAAUUAUCCCUAUCAGUCUGGAAGCUAGCAUCACUAUACCCUACAACUCUCAAGUCAUCACUCCCACCGAGGGUAAGGACCCAGUCCUUAGUCCUCCGUAGGUACUUGAGGAUAUUCUUUACCGCAGUCCAGUGUGCCUUGCCAGGGUUCGCCUGAUACCUGCUAACCAUGCUCAAGGCAAAAGCUACAUCGGGUCGAGUACACGUCAUAGCAUACAUGAUCGAUCCUACAGCCGAAGCGUAAGGUGUUCGACUCAUUUCUGCUAUCUCAGCCUCAGUGCUAGGGCUUUGUGUCUUACUCAAUCUGGUGUUACUCUGGAUGGGUAACUCUCCUUUCUUGGAAUCCUGCAUGCUGAAUCUCUUCAGCACCUUAUCCAAGUAGGUACUCUGACUAAGUCCAAUUAGUCUUUUACUCCGAUCUCUCAAGAUUCUUAUCCCUAGAAUAUAGGCAGCUUCACCAAGGUCCUUCAUAGCGAAACACUUCCCAAGCCAGGACUUUACUUCCUGCAGGGUUGGAAUGUCGUUUCCUAUGAGUAGUAUGUCAUCCACAUACAAUACCAAAAAGCUAACUAUACUCCCACUAGCCUUGACAUACACACAAGAUUCAUCUUCACUCCUAGAAAAGCCAAAUUCCUUGACCUUUUCAUCAAAGCAAAGAUUCCAUCUGCGAGGUGCUUGCUUCAAUCCAUAAAUGGAUUUCUCAAGCUUACACACUCUAUUAGGGUACUCGUUGCUGACAAAACCCUCUGGCUGACUCAUGUAAACAUCUUCAGCCAACUUUCCAUUAAGGAAAGCGGUUUUGACAUCCAUCUGCCAUAUUUCAUAGUCAUGAAAUGCAGCUAUGGCUAACAGAACCCGAAUAGACUUAAUCUUGGCUACCGGAGAAAAGGUCUCAUCAUAAUCCACUCCAGGAAUUUGAGAGAAGCCCUUUGCAACCAGUCUAGCCUUAUAAGUGUGUACUUUACCAUCCAUGUCGGUCUUCUUCUUGAAGACCCAUUUGCACCCUACUGUCUUACGACCUGGUACAUUUUCAACCAAGUUCCAAACUUGAUUGUCAUACAUGGAUUGUAUCUCGCUAUCCAUAGCCUCUUUCCAUUUAGCAGACUCGGGGCCUGCCAUGGCUUCCUCGUAGCUGUUAGGGUCAUCUUGACUUACUAGUGUCUCAUCACUAAUAAGUGUCUCACCUUCUGCAGUAAUAUGGAAUCCAUAGUAAUGCUCAGGUGCACUCCUAACUCUCGUGGAACGUCUCAGAGGUACAGAUUUGUCAAUUGGCUCAACAGGAGUUUCCUCCUCAAGUUGAGGGCUAGAGUUUGAAGUUCCUUCACCGCUUGAUUCUUGAAUUUCUUCAAGAUCAAUUUGCCUCCCACUGUCUCCUUGGCUUAUAAACUCUCUUUCUCGAAAGACUCCUCUUCUUGCUACAAAGACCACAUUGUCACUAGGUCUGUAGAAGAGGUAACCAAAGGAUCGCUGUGGGUAACCGAUGAAAAUACACCUCUCGCUUCGAGGUUCGAGCUUAUCAUGAGUCUCGCGUCUCACGAAAGCCUCGCAACCCCAAAUCUUGAUGUGGUCUAGUUUAGGUACUUUACCAGUCCACAUCUCGUGAGGAGUUUUGGCAACUUUCUUUGUAGGGACUAGAUUAAGAAUAUGGGCGGCAGUCUCUAAGGCAUACCCCCAAAAUGAGAUUGGUAGCGUAGCUCGACUCAUCAUGGAACGAACCAUAUCCAACAAGGUUCGAUUACGCCUCUCAGCUACACCAUUCAACUGUGGUGUCCUGGGAGGUGUCAAUUGUGAGACAAUCCCACAUUCCCUAAGAUAGUCGAGGAACUCUGAACUAAGAUACUCACCACCUCGAUCGGAUCGAAGCAUCUUAAUGUUCCUGCCCAAUUGAUUCUCGACUUCCUGUUUAAAUUCCUUAAACCUUUCGAAAGUCUCUGACUUAUGCUUGAUUAAGUAGACAUAUCCAUAUCUACUGUAAUCAUCAGUAAAAGUCAAAUAAUAACGAUUAGCAUCCCUUGUGGCAUGUUUGAAGGCUCCACACACAUCCGUGUGUACAAGAUCCAACAAACCUUCACUCCUCUCACACGAACCUAUGAAGGGUGACUUUGUCAUUUUUCCAAGUAAGCAUGAUUCGCAACUAUCAUCUGACCUUAGGCCAAAUGACUCCAGGACUCCAUCCUUUUGGAGUUGGCCUAUGCGUUUCUUGCUUAUAUGUCCAAGACGACAAUGCCAUAAUGAUGCUUUAUCCAAGUUAUUACCAUUAGUAGAAUCAAUACACAAUACAUUAUUUCCUAAGUUAUCUACAACAGACACAACUUCAUACACACCAUCACAAGGUAAUGCUUUAAAAUAAAACACAUUAUUAAAGAAAGCAUUUAUUCCACCAAUUUCAUUAUCAAAAGAAAAGGUAAAACCUUGUUUAUACAAAGCAUGAAAGGAAAUAACAUUUCUUGCCAUUUCUGGCGAAUAACAACAUUUAUUCAAAUCUAAAGUAAAUCCACUACUAAGCAACAAAGUAUAAACUCCAAUCUUGGUGACAGGUGAAACUUUCCUAUUCCCCAUGAUCAAGUUUAUCUUUCCAUGCUCCACAUUCUCACUUCUUCUUAGUCCCUGCAAUUCAGAACAAAUAUGAAUACCGCAACCGGUAUCAAGGACCCAAGAGUUAGAAUAGAGAGAAUUAUUAGAUGAUAUAGUGUAAAUACUUGCAUGGUUGGGUUUAACUUUCCCAUCCUUCAAAUCUUGAUGGUACUUUGGACAGUUACGCUUCUAGUGCGACUUUUCAUGGCAAUAGAAGCAUUCAGCUUCUUUGGGAUCAGAAGAAGGUGUAACGAAGCCUUUCUUGUUUCCGCUAGAAGAGGAGCCAUCAAGAGUCUUACUCUUGGUACCCUUCGAAGGGUUCUUCCUCUUCUUCCCUUUCCCUUUCCUGAUUGCCAGGACAGUUGCUGAGUUUGGAGUAGUAGCAGGAGUGGUCACAACCGACUUACCUUUAAGACCUGAUUCUGCGGUCUUUAGGAGUCCCUGAAGUUUGCUAAGUGUAACUUCCUCCUUAUUCAUGUGGUAUGUCAUGCGGAAUUGAUCAUAACACGAAGGUAAGGAGUGCAAAAUAAUAUCUAUUGCUAACUCCUUAGGGAAGUUCACAUUCAACUUCAUCAAUCGAUCCACAUACCUUUGCAUUUUCUGCAUGUGGCUUGUGAUGGGUUUGCCAUCUUUCAUUCGGGUUGUGAUCAUAGAGGAGAUGAUUUCAUAUUGCUCUUGACGAGCACUCUGAUGGUAGCGGUCCAUCAAAUCCUGGUGCAUCUCAAAAGGAUAGUAGUCCUCAUAGGACUUUUGGAGCUCGGCUGUCAUGGUGGCCAUCAUGAUGCAUGCCACUUUGGUAGCAUCUCUUUCAUGAACCUCAUAUUCAGCAAGCUCCUCAGGAGUAGCAGUUGGCUCAGGCACCUUGAGCUCCUUGUCAAGAACAUAUUCCUUGUUCUCGUAACGAGUGACCAUCCUGAUGUUUCUGAUCCAGUCAGUAAAGUUGGAUCCAUCAAAGAUGACUCUCCCACAAAGGUUCAUGAGAGAGAAGGAGCCAGUAGGGUUUGAGCCAGGAGUAGCAUUGUUGGAAGACAUCUGAAAAGAAGAAAAAAAGUUUAGUUUAGAUAUAGGGAUAGUCCUUAAUAAAACACCCAAAUGUAAUAUUAAGGCUAGGAUCCAAUCACAAUAUAUUAUAACCUAGAAGAGGGAUGCCGUAAUCCAAGUUAUAACAUAUUUGAAAGGUAGGUGAAUGACGAUUCACCAAUUUCCACCAUGAAAACGAAAUAUAAAUUAUUAGGUUUUAUUUGGUUUUUAGAAAUUCCUAGAUUCUUUGAGAUUCAUUGAACUUUUCAAUGGCAUGUUUCAAUCUCGAGUGUGCCCUUCAUGUUUUGUGACUGGGAUACCGAGGAUCACAAAACAAGGUGUGAAGUAACCAUGCAAAUUACUUGGUACCCUUAAUGUUUUUCACUUAAUCGUUGUGCCGGUAAACCACACGCGCUCCUUCCGACCUCAUGAAAAACCUUAAGUCACCCUUUGCCUUCCUUGUUAAGUCCAAGUUAGUGUGCCGGUAAACCACACACGCUCCACCAACGACUUAAACAAGGUGCAAAGUGUAAUUUCAUGGAUUAGCACCUUAUUCACAUUUUUCCUAAAGUAACUAAGAUUGGGAAUUUAUAAAACAUUUAGUUACUUUAUAAUAAUCAUUAUACUUUUAAUGAGAAUUUAUAAGUCAUUGUCCUACCCGUUCGGCUAACGACCCUCCACCAGUCAAGCAAGCGGUGGGUGAGAGUGGACACCCAUUAAGUUGCCAUUUUAUAGGCAACAACCUUAUACCCACCUUAUAGACCGGCUUCGUGAAUGAGGCGUACUAGCGGUAAGACUGACUUUACUCUUAUACAUAUAUAUAUUAUUAACUUAUAAUAUUAUAAAGUAUAAGGGUUGAAUUUUAACUUUUAAAAUUCUAAGGGUUGGAACUAAAGUUUUAAUCAAGACUUUACUUGUUCCAAAACUUGAGGGCAAGUUUUGUAAACUUUCAAGACUUUUCAUUUCUUGUAACUUAUGAGUUAAUUAGAGUAUUAAAAAUGAAGACUCUUCAUUUUUCUAACUCUUGUGUUCUUUUAAUGGUUUUAAUUCAAGUGUGACUCUUGGUUUUCCAUAACUUGAGGACAAGUUAUGGACUCCAUUAAAACACAUUAUGAUCAAGAAUUAAACUACCAAGUAGGUUACAAGUAAUUCCUAUGAUCAUCUAAAUUCAUAAGAUCAAGAACAUGAAUAUCCAUAUCAAAGUUUCAAGACCAUAUGAACACAUAUAAUCAUGAAAAAUUGAUAUUUGCCAUUGUAAAUGGAUUAGAACAAACAUUACACCAUCUAAAACAAGUUUUAUAACACCAAAACAGUUUAGGGUAAUGUUUCUAGUCCAUUUCCAGCAACAAAAGUCGAAAAUCUGCAUUCUGUGGCUCCUACUCGCCUAGUGCACGAACCUACUCGGCGAGUAGGUUGAAGAUACACAUGAACUCGGCAAGUCCCCCUAUGGACUCGGCGAGUUCAUCAGGCGGACAACAAGUUUUUCGACUUGUUUCACCUUUUUAGCACAAAUAACAAACAAACAAGCCUAGGCUCUGAUACCACUGAUGGGUUUUGAGCAUUCUAACACUUCCUAAGUGUACAUGCAACCCUAAUAACCUUGGAUCUAUGUUUGUCUAAUUAUCAUGCAAAGUUGAUUUCCAAGGCUAUGAUCCUAUCUAGCAUACAUGGGGAACAAUUUUAACUUGAAUAAAAGAUAGAACUACAUACCUUGUUGUUGAUUUUGAUCCUUGAAACCUUGUGAGCCUAGCACCCCAAGUGUGAUACCUCAAAUGCUUCACACAACACCAAAUGCUAUGGAGUAAACUUGGAGAGAAAGUAUAACACUCUAAAAAUCGGCUCUAGCCCUCAAGCAUUCAUGUGUAGCCGAUUUUGGGAGAAACAUGAGCUUUAUGUAGUGUUUUUGACACAUCUAGGGUUACACCAUGUAAACCCUAAUGUGUCAUGACUCUUCAUUUCCAUGACCCAUGGGUUUGUAACUCCCAUGGAACCUCCAUGGAGCAUCCAAUGGGUUUAACCCAACUUGAUUAUCCAUGGAGCCUCUUAGCUCACUAUAUAAGUUAUGGAUGAUUUACAUAAUCAACCCAUAUAUUUAAUUAGUUAUCUUUUGAUCACUUAAUUAAUUCUAAAAUUAAUUCUUGGUCAAACUAAUUAAAUAAUAUUAUUAAUAUAUUAGAGCUUAUAAUAUAUUAAUAAACCACAAGUGUUAUUUCUCUCAUUUAGUCUAUCCAAUUGCAUGGUCCCAUGCAACCCAAAUGGACCAUGCCGGGUCGGAUCAAGUACAUACCAGAAAUAGUUAUGGACUUAGACAUCUUAUCCAACAAUUAUAUGAACAGAUACUAUUACAUACAAUUACAAGAGAUACAAUUACAAGAGAGACAAUUUUAGAGAUACUAUUACAUAGAUACUAUUAUGUAGAUACUAUUACAUAUGUUACGGGACUUAGCAUUCCACACCCAAGGCUGUUAGCUACAGUAGGGAAAAUGUACAUCGACGGGCGUCUACGAUUGUACUUUUCGGCGAGUUACCACGUCGUGAAUAUCCUAGUACAAAAGGAUACAAUUUCAGUUAUUAUAUUAUUUUCCUUAUUACCUUUACUUUGUGUCACAUUCACAUAAUCGAUGAGGUAGAUUAGAUUUGAAUAAUAAUAGUUGUAGAAGGGAAAAACCUUCACUUAUGUAGAGGUUCAAACCUUCAAAACAGUCGAGUCUUGGUAGAAGACUACAUUUUAUACUAGUAGAAAAUAUGGGAUUUUCUAGGGUUUUCAUACUUAUACAAACUUUUCUUCAAACAUUUACAAGUCUUUUCUUUACGGUUUUACAAAUCAAAGACAUUAAAACACUUAUGAAUUCACCAGCUUUAUUGCUGAUACUCGCUUUCAAAAUAACUUGUAUUCUCAGGUCACAAAUAGACAGGUACGGCGACCAGGUUUUGUGAAGACGGAGCAGUCAAGACUCAUCUUUUAUUUUGAUUAUUCAUUAUGUUGUUUUAUACUAUUAAAGAACACACUUGUAUUUAAAAUUAUACUAUUAAUGCAAUGGAUGAUGUUGUUGCUUGUUUACUACUUUGCAUUGUUGUGAUACAUUACAUGACGUACUCCGCCCUAGAACGUUUCCGUCGUUCUCGGUUUUGGUGUGUGACAGAUUGGUAUCAGAGCAUUGUUUAUAGUGAAUUGAGUAUAUCAACCCAUAAAAUAUAUACAGACUAUAAAUACAAUGGGAUUAAAAUACUCUGACCAAGAGUUUAUACUUUUAAAUAAUAAAAUAUUUAACUAAGUAUACAUGCCUGCAUUCAUACUAAAAUCAGUGUCACAAUGACAAAAACAAAAGUAUUACGAUUGUUGAAUAUCACAAGUGAGCUUGGGGAUGUAUGGUCAAUCCUAGGAAUGACAUAGCCUGAUCAACUAUGCUGGUCUGAGGAGUGAUUAGCAUAUGCCCAAGAAUGGUUGUGAUAUGGCAACAAGUCUAAAAACUUACCAACACUACCACAAUGAGAACUCUAGAACAAAACAUAAGUCUAGAAUACUAUAGGAGUAUUUUGUGUUACUAUAAUUACUUAUUUGAAAACUAAAAAGAUCUUCAUUACUAAGUUGAUAGUUUCUUAGUAGAUACGCUAAGGUUAUAUGUAACUAGGAUGUCAUAGACUUAGAAUCUGUGUAAUUUUGCUUUACCCCUGUUCCUUGUGAAUUUGGAGAUAAGGUCACUUAUUCGAAGGCCUAUCCUGUCUUGAUUACAUAUAACUAGUAUGCGCUUUACAAAUAGUGAUGUAACUAAUGAAGAUUAUCUAAUAAUUAUCUAGUUAGUUCGUCUAAUAAUUAUAUCCUUACCCCAAUUCUCGUGUAGAUAACAUGGUUGGACUCCAUCCCCACGGCAACCCGUACAUUCUGAAAGAAGGCAAUGCUGGAUAGUUUGGAGAAGAACCAGAGGAUGAUCAUCCAAUCCCUUUAAAUGAUCACUAUGCUGAAGACCUUUCGGAUGAUGCUAACUCCAAACCUGAAGUUGAGAACCUAACCCCGGUAGCCCCCAAUCCAAAUCCUAACCCUCGUCCGACUUUUCAUGGCCCGACGCCUCCUUGGGUGGAAUGCUUAGAAACAUGGAGCGAAGAGCAAGAUCAACCUAUGCCAUUUAAUGGAGACCGAAACUUCCACAACCUAAGUAAAGGAGGCUCGGCAGACAGAGUUCUGCAAAUCCUGGUCCGUAGAGUUGCCCUAAACGAGAUUUAGGGCAGGACAGCUCUCCAUCGUAUCGCAGAGGUUGAUGCCAAUGCAGGAAUGCAUACCAUCCGCACCAAUCGCCUUGAAAAUGCUCGUGAGAGAUAUGAGAGAGACCAUGAGACUCUGUUGUAACCACUAACUGAAACACGAGCCGAAGUCAUAGAACUCCGAGUACGCCAGAGGGUGUACGAAAGACACCUGCUUGAUAUGGAACGUCAACCGGCUAAACUGAGGGUUCACUAAAGGAAUGACCACCACCAGUAGUAGAUGCCUUACUUUCUUUCCCUAUUAAAAGGAAUCGUUUUCCUGUCUAUGUCCUAUGUGGCAUUUUUCUAUGAAACUAUCUUGUACUGUUGGUACUUUUAGUUAGGCCUUUAUGCGGCCAAAACUUUUCUACUCCUGAUAUGAUGUAAGACCUUCUAGAAGGUCACUUUUUCCCAAACUUAUUACAUCAUGAAUAUCAAUGAUAUUGAAAGUCGGCUAAUUUUUGUGUCACUCUUUGUUCAAAUACUUUCAUCAUACUAUCGUUGAGGUCUAUCUGAAACCCACUCUAGUCAAGUUAUUGGAUUCGGGUAAUUUAGCUCAGGGAUCAUUCCCAAUUCUCUUUCAAAGGUUGGAUCAUGUUGUCCACCAACCAAUGGUACCCCGGUUUGGAAGACAAACGUCUUGUAACCAUUCUAUGAACUUACCUCUAUUCUUUACUAGGAAUGCAUCAUAGGGAUGUAGGUCAAACCCUCGAGAACAUACUUCUACUCUUUACAUGAAUGAUCGAAAUACAUCUAGGUUCAACCAUAAUCACUCACGCACACAUUUUCUUAUCGUGUAACAGAAUCAUGUCGUCGAAGAAAAUUAAACAACCCAUCAACCAAACACCAACUCUUCAGAUUGAUGCAGCUACCUUUCAAGCUGCAGUCUCAGCUGUCGUGACAGCUGUCAUGACUCACCUAAACGCUAACAAUGCAAAUGUUAGUGGGAUGGUUAUCAAUAAUUCCAAUCAAAGUAACAACCAAGUACAUAAACGAGUAACAAACUACCACGACACUCCAAAUCUCAAACCCAAGAGUAACAAACGAAGGUUCUGGGAAAGAUUUAAAGGCAAAUCACCCCAAGGAACGAACAAAAGACAACCACCUGUGGCAGCCUUCACGGCCACGACGUCUGUAACUCCUACUACCAUCCCUACUAGCAUCCUGGAUAUCCCUAACCCAGCCAGACAGUAUGCUUGAAACCUACCGAAGUGCAAUAAGUGCGGCUUCCAUCACCUAGGUAGUUGUCAUCUGUUACACUGCAAGAACUGCAACAAGAACGGACACACUACCCGCUUUUGUAGGACUCAGAUCCAACACAUAAUUUCAACCACCAAUGUUGAAAUUUCUCGGAUAUGCCAUCUAUGUGGUGUAAUGGGACAUUUCAAAAGGGAUUGCUCAACAAAGAAGAGUGACGGAAGAACAUGAGGAGUUUGACUUCAGAAUGGCAAAAGGCAACAAAGGAACCUACUUUAAUAUAGGAACACUUCCAAUCAGCAGUAUUUAAGUAUACUUUCAAAUGUUAAAAAGUAGUGCAACUCUAGUCUUAUCUUUUGCGAGAUUCCGUCAGUCAAGGAACCUCUUGUUGCCUAUACUUGCCUUUUGUAGUAUACGUUGUUCGCAACAGUAGUCUAGUAGUUAAUCUAAAGUACUGAAACUUUGUUAAAGGUUGCACUGUUAUGUUUUGUCUAUAACGCCUUUAUGAUCUAAUAACGCCUUUAUUUUCCAAGUGAGUCCGAUAUUAUCAUAAAACUUGAGUCAACUCAAUCCUCACAAUACCAGUUUUGUGCGUACAUCUCUUUCUCCGUAAUUGCCUUUCUAUCAAAGCCAUCAUUCCAGAACUCUGAGGUACUCAUGCAUAGAGUACCUUAUGUUAUGUAUCCGUCCCGAAGAAACCUCAGCCAACCUCCCCUGAAUACCACUCGUACAGUAUGUCAAGUUCAAUACAAAGAUCCUUACGGUUCUGAAGAAUGUAUACACAAGGGUGGUAUAUAAUCAAGGUUCUACAUGUUUAGAAUUGAUGAUUCCGCUUUAACUUCUUUUCCUUGUUUCGAUGUGAGCUUAAAGAAGAAUCAUUUAUUCGACUACCUUUUCAAUCUUAAUUAUAUACGACUCGUAUACACGAAACUGUGAUUGAUGAACCAUGUAUGACUUCUGAUGUGAACUUCAGGAUGGAGACUGCCCAAGACUACAAGUAAUCGCAUCGACAUGCGAACAAACUUAGAACCCAAUACUACCCCUGUAACCAGAUCUCCCUUCAGUCUAACACCUACAGAGAUACAAGAACCGUUCGAACAACUUAACGACUACUCAGCAAUGGAAUUGGGAGACCAAGCUCCUCCCCUGGAGAGCUCCGGUCUUAUUCUUCAAGAAGGUAGACAGAUUGUUUAGUAUGCGCGCCGACUACAGAGACCUCGACAAAAUUUCCAUUAGGAAUCAUUACCCUCUACCUCACAUAGAUGGAUCGUUUGACCAGCUGCAAGGAACAAAUUACCCUUCGAAAAUGGAUCUGAGAUCCGAGUAUCACCAGUUACGAGUGUUAAGAGGAAGAAUGUCCCGAGGACGGCCUUCCGAACUCAAUACAGACGCUACAAGUCCGUAGUGAUACCUCUUAGAAAAGACCAAUGCGCCCAUAGUAUUCAUGAACUUGAUAAAAUAGGGUAUGUUGUCCUUCGAUCAGUUCGUCAUUGUCCUUGUAAAUGACCUACUUAUCUACUCUCGUAGUAAGAAAGAGCAUAGAAGCAUCCACGACUCAGCCUACCCCGCGAGCUCAGUAACGUAUAUUCUACCUUCCACGCCUCGAACUUGAAAAAGUGCCUUUCCAUCAGGACUCUUGUAAUCCCACUAGACGAGAUCAAAAUCAACAAGAGCCUCAACUUCAUGGAAGAAUCGUAGUGACCAUGAACUGAGAGGUCAAGCAGACGAAGCAAAGCCGCGACCCAUUAGUGAAGUUUCUCUGGAAUGCCAAGCGAGGAACUAAAUUCACUUGGGAGUGUGAGGAUCAAUCGAAACUGAAUUAUCCUCAUCCCUUUACAUGGUUAUUCGUAACUACUUCCUUACCUAAACUCUAAUUUCGGGACUAAAUUCCCUCUAACGGGGGGGAUGAUGUGACAACCUGAAAUUUCUUUCUUGUACAGGAGACCAAUUGAAUCCUAGUUAAACUCGUUUUGCUAGCUUUUAACACUGUUUAGAGCCUAAUGGAGUGUUCUAAACCUAAUACAAUUAAGGUAGGAACCUAGAAAUGGGAUAACAUGAUGCAUAUCAAGCAAAAUUGGGCCAAACACUCCAAAACAUGGAGUGUGCGGCCGCUCACCCAUCCCAGCCACACACUCACACCUAUAUAUACCACACUUAGUCAUUUUCAACACUUUUCCCACUUCUUCAAAGCUAGAACUCGAAAUCCUCUCAAGUAUCAUCCAACUUUUCACUCCAAUCUUCAAACAAGUAAGUGAUUCAUCCCUUGAUUGAUUAUUACAUGACCAUAACUAGCCUUCUUCCUCACUUAGAUCCAUGAAAACACGUUUUUGGUGUAGAUCUUCAAGAACACCAAGAACACACACUAAGUUUUGGAUCCUAAUCACCCCUUUCAAGCCUCUAUAACGUGUGUAUACUUGUUAUACCUCGUUAUAUGUUAAGAACACUUGAUGAUGUGCUUGAAAAACUAGAGUUCAUCAUCUUCAUGAAGGGUGUGCGGCCGCACACCUUCAUAGUGGCCGCAUACACCCUUUUUUGGUCCCCAAAUGGCAAUAAACUCCAUAUAAGGCUAGAGCAUGAAGUGAGAAACCUUCCUGGAUGAGUUCUAAGACCUUGAAAUAUGUUUUAACACACUUCAUAGGGUGUGUGCGGCCCACACACAUCCUGGCCGCACACUCUGGCCGCACACACACUAAACCUUUGGUUUUGUGGCCUUACACUUCAAUAUAGGACCAUACAUCCCUUAUGUGCAACCAUAUGUGUUGGUAACACUUAGUUCUAA